UACGGAGGGAGCUAGCGUUGUUCGGAAUUACUGGGCGUAAAGCGCGCGUAGGCGGCUUUGUAAGUUAGAGGUGAAAGCCCGGAGCUCAACUCCGGAACUGCCUUUAAAACUGCAUCGCUUGAAUCCAGGAGAGGUGAGUGGAAUUCCGAGUGUAGAGGUGAAAUUCGUAGAUAUUCGGAAGAACACCAGAAGCAAAGGCGGCCAACUGGCCCGAUACUGACGCUGAGGCGCGAAAGCGUGGGGAGCAAACAGG
rnacentral:rRNA from 1 species